GACAGAGGUGCCGAGCGUUAGGCGGAAUCACUGGGCUUAAAGCGUGUGUAGGCGGAUCUGUAAGUACCUUGUGAAAUCCCACGGCUCAACCGUGGAACUUCUUGGUAUACUGCGGGUCUUGAGCCACCUAGGGGCAAGUGGAACAAACGGUGGAGCGGUGAAAUGCGUAGAUAUCGUUUGGAACGCCAAUGGUGAAAACAGCUCGCUGGGGGUGCACUGACACUGAGACACGAAAGCCAGGGGAGCGAACGGG
rnacentral:rRNA from 1 species